rnacentral:rRNA from 1 species
CGUGGAGACAGGUGGUGCAUGGCUGUCGUCAGCUCGUGUCGUGAGAUGUUGGGUUAAGCCCCGCGACGAGCGCAACCCUCACCCCUAGUUGCCACCGGGUUAAGCCGAGCACUCAAGGGGAACUGCCAGCGUCAAGCUGGAGGAAGGCGGGGAUGACGUCAAGUCAUCAUGCCCCUUACGCCCUGGGCUACACACGUGCUACAAUGGCCAGUACAAAGGGACGCGAGACUGCGAAGUGGAGCUAAUCCCAAAAAGCUGGUCUAAGUUCAGAUUGCAGUCUGCAACUCGACUGCAUGAAGGAGGAGUCGCUAGUAAUCGCGUAUCAGCCCGGCGCGGUGAAUACGUUCCCGGGCCUUGUACACACCGCCCGUCACACCACGAAAGCUGUCUGUACUCGAAGUCGCUGAG